CAGUCAGCAAGGAGCCCACCCACCACCUUAGACCCUGCCAAUUGACCAGAGCCACGACCAUCACCCCACCAACCGUCCUAGAACCCCAUAAAACCUUUGUGUUUUUGAAACUCACUCUCUUUCUCUGGCAUCUUGCCACUGUGUUGGUGCAGAUGAGAGAUUGAGCUCGAGCUAGCUUGAAUAAAGGCUCUUUGCUUUUGCAUCAGUGUUGGCUCCUUGGUGGUCUUCUGGGAUUUGCGACUUUGGGCACAACAUUUGGGGGCUCGUCCGGGAUCCCAGAGACUCCCAGAACUCCUGACCCGGAGGACCCAGUGACGGCUGUUCCAGGUAUUAUUAUGUAACUGCCUAUAUGCUGGGAAGGAUACUAACCUGGACAUAGCAGAUUCCCAGCUGGCUUUGAAGAAUGGAAAGUAUCCCAAUGUGGUAACUCGAUUUGUGUCCAUUCAACCUGUGUGGGACAGAAGUAUCUGGGCCAGAGAAUAGCUGACAAGAAGUUUAAAGAGUGCCCUACUCUACUGAAAUUCCUGGCCUAACAGAGAGAGCUUUCUUACUACCUGAAGGGCUGAACUCUUGUAAGCCAAACAUCUUAAAUAAAGGACUCUUUGUGAAAGGACUUAGCAAAUAUUAUGUAAUAUUCUGCCAAGACUAUAAGUAUUUUUAUGCAAGCAGUGUUGUUAUAAAUGAUUAAAUGUUGUUAUUAUAAGUAAUCAUAUUACUAUGGUACUAAAUUUAUUGUGUGUGAAACAAUUCUGUGUCUUUAUCAUCCAACUUGGUAGAGAGUAAAGAUCCAUAACUGUCCCAGCCCUACUCACAUGCAGCUCAAAGGCACAUAUUUAAAA